GAUAUUCGGCUCUUAACUGAGCGUUUCACAAAGAGACGUUUAGCUCUCCUCAGAUAUUGGCUUCCCUGGAUAAUCUGAAUUCCAAAGCAAAGCUCGUGAGCUUCUGUGCUGCUUUGCUUGUUUUAUAUAUCAGACUUUGCUUUGCUGCAACCAAUGAGGAAACUCUGCGCGUAAAAUAUCCCUACAUGCCACUUUGAACCCCCCAAUACCCAAGUGACCCACUACUGCAGCCUAAAUGCGUACUUCACUUGCAGGAAAAAAUGCACAUAGUGAUGUUUAAAAUAAAAACACGUUAAUCACUGAUAUUCAGACAUAUUAAUAUAUCAAAUUACAAAGUUGGUAAUCGUUAGAAAUGACUGGGCUUGACGGAAUGUUAAUGCGCUUUAAUGGAGUCAUAAACAUAAUCGAAACAUGCGUAAACACCAGCGUUGAAAAAAAAAAGUGGUUUGAUUGUAAAAUAAAUUGUUAAUUUAGAGUUUUAUUGCUACAAAGAAGGCUGGAAGAAACAUUCCCAAUAAACAGUAUCUGCCUUAAUUCAUUUAUUCAUCUUUAAAAUCAUGCUUUUUGUCCUUAAAUGUGUGGAACAAAUCUCACUGGGUGCCAAAAUAAAUCAAUAUUUCUUAAAGUGAAAUUGUUCUUAUUCUUAUUUUUAUUCAAAAUAUAUUUGAAUCAAAGUAAAACUUUCACAUUUAUUAUAAAGAACUUUUUAAAAUGAGGAUGAAUAAGAUGAUAAAAUGUGGACUAUGUGUUUUAUUGCGGCUUGAGGUGUAAUGUCAAAGUGCGUAACGAUUCUUACUCGCGCAGUCGGUGAUUUGGGAAGAAAGAGAUUAGUAAGAGUGGUAUUUCCUUUUUUCUCCCCCUCUCUCUCUCUCUCUCUUUAGUUGUAUGCUCAAGUCCCAUUCUCUGGUCAAGUUCAGUGCGUUGUUCUCCGGACCGGACGGACGCUUCUUAUUGGUAGGUUGCGACAGUUACAUCACGCCGCUCAUGACGCGCACGUCUUCCUGUUUCCUUCAGCCGCGUCUUAAAGUGAAUCUUAGUGGCGGAGGAGCGCUCCAGCAUCCAGUCCCUCUGCAUCCAGUGCGCCUCGGAGACGCACACACGCAGUCUCUCUCUCUCUCUUUCGCACCCUCUCUUGCACUCUCUCUAUGUCUCUCACUCUUUCAGUCACAGCAGAGGAUAGAGGGAGAGACCGACGCGCAAGAGCUCUUUUCAUCUUCUAUAUUUUUCCUAUUUUGUUCCUUUCGCCGGCGCCGCUGACUUUAUUCCAGCUCUCCUUCCUCCUCUGAGAAACUGUUACAUCCCCAGCAUCCAGCGAUCCGCCGAGCUCUGCGUUGUAUAUUCUGUCUUUUUUGUGUGUUGUUGCCGUAGGAGUUCAGGUUGUCCCCCUCUUCAUCUAAAGGGUACUCAGAGGCUUUGAUCCUAGAGGACUGGGUUUGCGGGAUAUGGCCCAAUAGCAGCAGCCCGUGAUGCCGGACCAUGACAGCGACUCCCUCCUGAACAGACAGACCAAGCGAAGACGUGUGGACAUUGGUGUUAAGAGGACCGUGGGCAGCACAGCCUCCUCCACAGCAGCAGCCACAACAACAACCACUGAUAACAUUGCCCGCGCCAAAGCAGCCAUUUUCAGUGCCAUGAACUCUCUGAGCUCCCACUCUCACCACGGAUCAGACACCGACUCCAUGGAGUGCUCUGUAGUGCAGCCACAUGGUGGGCCUGGCGUUGUGUCAGCCAGCGACAGCGAGUCCAAGUCCAAUGUACUCCGAAAGCUACUGAAGAGGGCCAACUCAUACGAGGACACCAUGAUGCCCUUCCCUGGCACCACAAUUAUCUCCCAGCUUCUCAAGAAUAACAUGGCGAAAAAUGGAGGGGGACCCGAGAGGGGAGAAAGAGGGGACAGGGGUGAUAGAGGGGAUGUCGGCUUCCCCGGAUCAGGGCUUUCCAAUGCAAGUUCAGAUGCUCCCCAGGAAGAUGCCUGCAGUAACUCCUCCCAUGAUAGCACCCCUCAAGAAUGCUUGUCACCCUUUGGUCGCCCUCCCGGCCUGGCCUCGUUUGACAUUGAACGUCUCAAUGAUGAACACCUGCGUGCCAAGCGAGCCCGUGUAGAGAACAUUAUACGUGGUAUGAGCCACUCGCCCAGUGUGGUGGUACCUGCUGCCUCCCGUCAUGAGCGCGACCAUGAGAUGGAUGGAGACCGGGAGAUGGAUCUAGACUGCCCACCCCCUCAGUCUCAGCAGCAGGCCCCCAGCAGCCCACGGGGAGGCGAGGUGUGCAGCAGUAGCAGCCGAGAGAACAAGCGUAAGCAGCGUCUGCCUCAGCAGCAGCAACAGAGCUUCACCCAGCUGGUGUGCCAGAGGAAGGAACAGAAGCAGGAGGAGCGACGGCAACUGAAGCUGCAGCUGGAGGACAUGCAGAAACAGCUACGCCAGCUGCAGGAGAAGUUCUUUCAGAUCUAUGACUCGACCGAUGACUCAGAACACAACGACCUCCACAAUGACCUCCACAACGACAUAGGGAACAUGUCUGAAGACAGCCCGGGCAGGUCUGACACCGGUGGCGAUGACCGGGGUGGAGAUGACUUGCGCUCUGACAAUGAAAUGUCUGACUUGGACCCGGGCCAUUUCCUCGACAGGGCGCGGGCGUUGCUUCAGGAGCAGGCCAUGCUGGCGGACGGAGAGAAGCCAAGAAGAGAGGGGCUCAGCCGGAGCAAAGGACAAGGAGGUCCAGGCUCCUCCAUGCAUGCUGAAGGUAAACAACUGGCAGAAACACUCAAGCAGGAACUCAAUUCAGCCAUGACCCAGGUGGUGGACACAGUGGUUAAGGUGUUUGCCAAGCCUCCACGCCCCACACCCCAGCAGGCCUUCCCCUCGCUCUCCAUACCUCCUGAGAGAUUUCCCACCACCGUCAAUGGAGACAACCCCAACUUCCAUACCGCCAACCAGAGGCUGCAGUGCUUCGGCGAUGUCAUCAUUCCCAAUCCACUAGACUCCUUCGCCAGCAUGCCCGGGAUGCCCGGUCCCACCAACGACCAAACCGAAGCGAUACCCUUAGUUGUGAGGAAGACACCCAGCGAGCACCACCACCACCAGUCCUCAGCUGUGGGAGCCCAUGGCGGGCACCACCACCCCGUCCUCCACCCCUCAUCGCUCUCAGCCUCCAUGGGCUUCAGUCCCCCAUCCUUUAGACACCCUUUUCCACUGCCUCUCAUGGGCUACCCUUUCCAGAGCCCCCUCGGUGGGCCCACAGGUGGCUACCCAGGCAAGGACCGUUCCUCUCCAGACUCUAUGGACCUGUCCCGGGAGACCACCAGCCUGAGGACCAAGAUGGCAUCAGGUCACCACAUGGGGCACCACCAUCGCUCUUGUUCACCAGCGCACACUGGCAGCACAGCCGAGGGACUCUCCCUGUCCCUCAUCAAGUCUGAGUGCAGUGAUCUCCAAGACAUGGCCGACAUCUCUCCCUACUCAGGCAGCAAUAUCCAAGAGGGUCUCUCCCCCAAUCAUCUGAAGAAGGCCAAGCUUAUGUUUUUCUACACCCGCUACCCGAGUUCUAAUAUGCUGAAGAUGUUCUUCUCUGAUGUCAAGUUUAACCGCUGCAUCACCUCCCAGCUGAUCAAGUGGUUCAGCAACUUCAGGGAGUUCUACUACAUCCAGAUGGAGAAGUUCGCCCGCCAGUCCAUCAACGACGGAGUCACCGGAGUCGAGGAGCUGGGCGUCAGCCGCGACAGUGAGCUCUUCCGAGCCCUCAACAUGCACUACAACAAGGCCAAUGACUUCGAGGUCCCUGAACGCUUCCUGGAGGUGGCCGAGAUAACACUGAGAGAGUUCUUCAACGCCAUCGUGGCCGGCAAAGACGUGGACCCGUCCUGGAAGAAGGCCAUCUACAAGGUCAUCUGCAAACUGGACAGCGAGGUCCCCGAGAUCUUCAAGUCCCCCAACUGUCUCCAAGAGCUUCUACACGAAUCUGCUGUACCUUGAGUGACAUCCAUGGCUGUAACAGAUCCCACAAUUGUCUCUGAUAGCCACCCCUUCUGUCAAUCAGGCUGUAGGACAAAGGCUGCUAAACCAAGGCUGAUGACCUCAUGCCUGGGGUCUGCUCCAUACCGAAGGGGUCUUAACACCGUUCAACUUGUCUUUUGUGUCUGGGUGCCGUUUUUCAGACGCUGCUGACUACCGAGAAUCGCCUCGCAGUAUCUCUCGAGGCCCUGGGGUGCACGCACAUACACACAUGCAUCGCACACAUCCCCCUUGAUCCAUGGGCUGGAGCGUUGAGCCAGGAGUGAGCCUUAAGACAAGGAGUGACAACCGGGACAGCUGCAGGGGCUGGAAGCCAGUCUUAGCCCCCACCACCAACCACCACCACCACCUCCCAUACCGCCUCCAGCCAGCCAAACAAGCCAUUGUUUCUGGCCCGGGCCUUUGGUAUUUCAUUUGUCAUGAAAUGGAUACGGACACGGGACGACCAUGAGGCUCUUUCUCUAAAAAAGAAGCUGCUACUGCGACUGCUGCUGUUGUGGCUGCUGGUUGCUGAGCCCAGAUUGCUAACUCCCCUCAUCCUUAACCUUCUCGUGCAGCUUGCCCCAAGCACCCUGCUCUGAACUAUUAAUAAACCUGCUUUUUCCAAGGUAAAGGAGGUAGGGAGGGGGUGGUCCAAAGGGAAAUGUUUUCCGAAGGGGUGUAAGAAGAAAGACAAAGAGAAAGAGGGAGAAUGCCAGACUGUUUUAGUCAGCCUUUGUGAUCUUCAUUUUCUCAGGUUUCUCAGUGGACAUUUGGCAGGUCAGGCCUGUGAGCCAGGUAGGUCGUCAGGGUCCCGCUCAGCUGUUGUCAAUCUCUGCUGAGAAUGAGUUAAGUUCUGCGGGUGUUAUGACAGUAGGUCUAUAUCAGCCGCAAAAUAAUUGGCCAACCUUUACACGUUCGCAAGGCUGCUUGACGCUAAGCUGCUCGCACAUACCGUGUCUCAGGGCAACUUUCAACACGUAGUUAACAGCAAUAUGGAGGAACUGACAACAUACAGCUGCACUCCUCGUGACAUCUCUGAUAACAGUAAAGAUGCUGAGAUGUUCAUCACCCUCGCUGCUCCAUCAUCCUUAAGCACCCAAGUCUAAAAGAGUUCAUGGGAAUAAAAACAAUACCCCUCUAUCUCCGUCAAGGGCAUUCCUUGGCACAACAAUAGGACCAUCUCCUCCCCCCUGUAUUUUCCUUUCCUCCCCUCCCUCCUCAUUCUCCAGCCCCUCCAUCAAAGAGCAUUCCAGCUCCAGAGCCCCCUAAGCCCUUCACUCUGGGCCUGUCCAUGUGACACGCAGACAGUCAUCUUUAAGAAUUGAUUCACUCUGGUAUCCAAAGCCUAUGGAGCCGGGCUGCCAAGAUACCCAGCAUAGGCGCCACUCAUGGGGUCCAGGUACACAACAGCUGCUCCCCAACAAUAAAGGCAAAAAAUGGGAGGCACUCAGGGGGAAGAUGCAGCCCUAACCUCCCUCUCAAGCCUGAACUGGUCACCUUGAGCCAGUUGUUGCCUGCCCGCCUGCCUUCAGAGACGACAAAGGAUUGGGUCCAACUUUGGGAUGAGGGGUGGUGGAAGGGGGUAGGCAGAGGCGCAGGACAAAAGCGGGAAAGAGAAAUGUCUACCUCCUUCCUUGGAGGAAGCGACGGCUGUGCUACCAAGAUGGCACAGAGUGACACAUGCGAGACCAUAAAUAAGACAAUGGCAUGUUGUUUUCUUCUGAGGCACAUUGUGUAGAAGCCUGGAGGUCAAGUGAAGGAGAUGCAUCCCAGAAACCUCACGCACACAUGCACACGGGGGGAAGCGACGCCGGGUAUGUCGUGAUACCACAGAUAGAGAUCACAAAUCACACAGAAGGAGACAGGAGAGAUAUUACCUCACCUGAAGUGUUUCCAUAAACUCCAGUGUACCAAAGCCUUGGGAAGUGGUAUCACUCUUCAAGCAGGUCCUGACCCACACACACCGUGAUUUAUGAUGAUACAAUCCAGCACAUCAUCCAUCAUAAAUAAGGGAGAUUAAAUGAAUAGACUGAGGCUGUGUGUAGUAUUUCCACCCUUAGAAAUUAUACUGUUGAGCCACUGUGUGCUCUAAAAACUUAUUCCAGGAUGGUUUAGGAAAGAGGAGACACACAUCUGUCACCUUUUCCUUAAAGUUAAGGAGUAAUGGAAAAAGAGAAACACAGAGAGGAAGAUGAGGACAGAGGGGAACUUGGCAUCAUCAGUCUUCCUGCUAAAGCGGAAAGGCAGAAGAGGGAAAGCGAGAGCGAUGGAGAGCCGGGGAGAGAGGGGGAAUUUACCAAAGCAGCUCAGGAGGGCCCUCAUUACGAUAUUAAACAAGAUUUAAUAAGUGAGAGUGAUUUGAUGAGGUGAUUAUCCUGGCCCAUUAAUCAAGCAGGCUUCUGGCCUCACUGUAAUAUGGCCCAUCUUUCCCCCCUAUACCAAAGCCUCUUUAGACGCUGAGCUCCUUACUGCACUAACGCCGCUUCAGAAACAACACCAGGCCAAAAAAAAAAAAGGCAUAUUACGUCUCAUCUCUCAAGCCUGCGGGUAUUUUCGAUGCUCACUCAUCCCUCUGCCUCCCCUGUCCGCUCUUCUGGUGCAUCUGGUAAAUUGAACUCCUUAACAUCUGGGUCAGAAAGUAAAGUCUUAUCAGAGGGAGCUAAGAGUGAUAACUGGCAAUGAUAACGAGAAAGCAUCUGUUGGCUUUAAGGCUUUUGGUUCGAGAACAGAAGGAAGUUGCAGGGAUUUCACUGGAUUGUUGGGUUUUUGUAGAGAGGUAGGGGAAGCUCGCGUGUGUGUGUUUGUGUGUGGGUACAUGUGUGUGGACGGGCUGAUUCAUAGAAUGCUUCUUUGGAAAAUGAGGCACAAGUUGCAUCAGGAGAUGUGAGGGCGAGCACAGGCGGCUGUUUGUGCUCAACCAGGUCAAAACAAAAUGAUAUGACCCAGACUGGCAGACCUUACGAACUUAUCCCUAUUUAUCAUUUUCCAUAUUGAUGAAUUUGUUGAUGUUUUUCUUUAAUUUUUAGGUUUAGUUUUUGCUGCACAUACAGUCUAAAUCACAUAAGAUGGUCAACUUACAAUAAUAUACAACAGAAAAGUAGAAAAUCCUCACAUCUGACAAGCUGUAACCAGCAAAUGUUUGACAUGUGUGCUUAAUAAGUAGCUUAAAAAGAUUAUUCCAUUAUCAAAAUAGUCAAUGCUUAAUUUUUCAGUUGACUAAUUGAUUAAUUUCCAAAUCAUUUCCGCCUUAAUACCAUAAUUUCUGUGUAUUGUACAUCUAUUGCUAAAUAAACUACAGUCACGUGCACUACAAACUGAGAUUCAUUAAAAAAAAAUGAUCUUCCUGUUUAUAGGCAAUGAGGUUUGAUCUGUCGGUUGCGCUCUUUUUACACCUUUGUAGAUAUAAUUUCUUGUAACCGUUCUUCAGGUGCAUGUGGGUAGCUUUUACAUGAUAUUUCCAAAUGCCUUCCAGCACGGCUGAAAGAGAUGACACAUGAGCAAACAAACAAAAAAAGGCUUAAACUGAUAACUUGAGGUUUGUUUUGUUUGACUUCCUCCUUAAAGCUCUUUGUCAGAUAUGCUGAAGCUUUCACCAUUUCCACACAGCAGUCCAUGAGACAUAUAAAAUGUGAAAAGCAUUUUAUUAUUUAGUCCCAGGAAGCAGCUACACGUCUGUGUACGAAACAAAUCACAUCACUUUCUGUGCGCUAAAGGAGAUGCAGACCUGCCUGAUUAGAGCUGAAGCAAUUGGUUAAUCAAUUAGUCGAUCAACUGAAAAUUGAUUUGCAAGUGUUUUGACUAUUGAGGAAUCUUUUUUUACAAUCCUUUCUCAUUCCCAAUUUGUCAAAUACCAAUGCUUGGUCAGUGGCCCUUCUGAUUUUGUCGCAAAGAAGUACCACUUUGUAUGAGACACACUGGGCCAUGUCAUUAUCAGACACUCAGAACAACUGACGUAGGAUAAAGAGCCCAUAGAGUCCACAUAGGGAGGAGGUUGGGGUGGGCGGAUGGCUCAAGCACAGGACUUUCACCCAGGAGACUGUUGUGUGUGUCCUGUGUGAAACCAAAAGUUAACAUAAUUUCAACUCAAACCCUGAUCAUUUCCUGAGCCCAACCAAGUACUUUUGUGGCCUUAACCUAACACGUGCUUUUGUUGUAACUGUAAACCUAAAACCUAAGUAAACCUACGUUGGAAGUUAAUUUUGAAAAAAGACUGCUUGUGUGUAACAAGCAGAAACUGACACGCCGUCCCUGAGCAUCCAAAACUGAUGCUAGAGGGUAAACUAGAGUGUUGUCGUUAGACACACAGGACCACCAACUGAGUAUCAGUUGGGUGUGAGAAUGAAUUGUUUUUAAAGCACAAAUGCCAAACAAUCUCUGAAAUUUGAGAAUUUGUUGAUUUUGUUUGUCUUAUAUUACAACCCGGUCUCAUUCCAAAGUAGCUGAAAUCCGGCGCUUAGGCAGUGACUUGCGGCAUCAGACACAGAUGAAAAAAGCCUUCCUGUAACGUCGGCAUGAUACAUGGCCGGUUGCUUGGAUAGUUCACCAGCACCUGGCGGCAUCAACAGACCCCAACCUUCACCGGGAAGAGUGGUGUUCACGUCCCAUAAGAUUAUAAAGCCAAACCAGGUUCUUUAUUUCUAAACCUAACCACGUGCUUUUGUUGUUGAAGGAAAAAUGGACUGUAAACGGAAGUGUAUUUUGAAAGAAGACAGGCAGAACCAGAACAUCAACAACCAACGCACCCAGGGUACCUUGCACGUUGUAUCCAGACGUGGAAAGUCCAUGACCAAAUGUCAAUAUGUGACGAGGCCGGAGUGAGAAAGGCGUCACCCUGUGAUUCUGAAGUUAUUUAUCAUAUUCAUCAAGAUCAUCCCCUCUGACAAAGCAAGACAUCAGCACAGUGGGGAGGCCUAACGAGAACGUGUACUGGAACACGGGGGUUUCUUCCAAAUCAAAUCAGGUUCCUCUGAUGUAAUCAAGACGAGACGCCAAAGACGACGACAUAAUCUCCCAGGGACAUGCCUCCCUUGCUUGCACGUUAUUAAAAAAUGAGGAGGAACAAAUCUUUAGAUUGAAAGACUGGAAAAAUGGAAUUAUAAUAAAUCGGGGGAAACUGGGGCAAGGUUGGAUAAAGCCUUCAGAUACAGAUCACGGACAAAUCUUCACAGUGGUUUGUGCUUGUAUGUGUUUAUGUGUGUGUGUGUGUGUGUGUGUGUGUGUGUGUGUGUGUGAGGGAGGGAGCGCAGGCACAAGUGCGUGUGCGUGUAAUGUGUUCGCAUGGUUGCUUAUGAAAUAUUUCAAUUUACUCAAGAUCAAGUUCCUGACCUGAGCUCUCCCUCUCUCCCUCUGUGUAAAAAGUGCUGGUCGUCCCACAGGAAGUCACUCAGUGUUGUCAGAUAAUCUGUCUGUAUCUAUGGUGACCAGUGGACUGUGAUGCAUCAUGGAAGGGCCUCUCAGUCAUUGGAGGGUGCACUUACAAUUAACACCCACAUGAUGGCACAAUAUGACAAAAGUGGACAGCAGUUAGGAACUUGAAGGCUCUUUGCAUUAAUCUGACCUGCUCUGAUCCCCAUGAUAAACAAAGUACCGCAUAUAAUGCAAAAUGUAAUCAAACCCAGUGUUGUUACAGCUGAAUUUUCAACUUCAUGAGUUUAUUUGGUGAACUGAUGUUCAAAUGCACAGCUGUCACAACAUAAAGAGUGAAAUGGUGCAAUAGAAUAGGCAUCAACUGCAGAGAUGUUCAUGGCCUUCACCACCAGAUGGCCUUAUUGAACUACAGUAAAAAGUACCAACACUAUGGAGAUGAACUCUGGCCUAUUCUGGUUUUGAACUCUGGUUUUGCUUUGAACACAAUCCAAACACUUGGUACAUACAUACGAU